UGGGGCAGUGCUGUUUAAACAUAGGCACUCCCUCCUCUGCCCCAACCCCAGCCUCAUAUCCACUUCCCCUUGUCAGGAAGGAGCCCAGGUGCCGCCUCUCUGUGACCAUGCACCCCUCUCUGUCCUUGCCACUUUCAGUUCCAGGCUUGAGCCCAGAAAUUCUUUGUUUGCCAGCGAGCCCCUCAGAGGCCGCUGCACAGUUAGACUUCAGCUCCGCUCGCCACUAGACCCUUGGCACCCACGCGUGGAGGUGCGGCUGCCCCCACUCAAAGCCUGGGAGCUCCCCGAGGGCAGCGACCCGCUCCUUCAUCUUGGUGUCGCCGCCACCCAGCGAAAUGCUCUGCGAACGGUUGUGAGCCUGGACACAUUAUUCCUCCUGGUGGCAGCUCGGUUUGCGCAUCUACGAAGUGGGCGUCACAACACACAUUGUGUCAUCUCACCCCCGUUCUUGCUUCCCAUACCUGGGCAUCCCUCCUGGAGAAGGCAACAGAAUUCAGCUCUGGACACUGGCUGAGGCUGCCUCUCUGAGCAGUGCCUGGAGCAGAACGCAGGCUCAGUAAAUCCUUGCAGGCUGGGCUGAGCAGUGCAGAAUCCCUGGAUAUCUGAUGCCUAACCUCUUGGAAGCAGCUUCAAUCAACCCACGGCAGUGCACAGACCCCCUAAUUGCUCAGCCGACUUGUGCUGACUUCGCCAUCUUUGUGUUGCCCACCGUAAUUUGUUAGGGCCAAAAACAUAACCCAAAUCUAUAGUUACGCGCAAGAUGGUACAUGGAAAUUUUGAGGCUGCGGUGUCCUGGUACACUACACAGGGGGCUGUGGUUACAUAAGACCAGGGACUUGUGCCCCCUGAAGGAGACAGUGCACGGCAGAGUGGAAGCCAGUGGGCUUUGGAGUCAGAUGAAUAUUGAUCUCAGUUCUACCUACUCUACUGAUUGAUUGGCUGUGUGACCUUAGGCUUCUCUAAGCCUCAAUUUUCUCAUCUGUAAAAUGGAGGUGAGACCAUCUGCCUUAAAGGGUUGUAUGGACCAGAUGAAGCGACAUGUACAGGUGUUGGACAGCAGGAGAGGGGGCAGUGGAAGUUUCUAGCACUCUCAUAGGGAGUAUCCAGUGUGGGCGAUGCCAAAGAUGGUGUCCUGAUCAGGCCCUUCCUGAGAUGUGACCUCAGUGAGUCUCUGCGGGCUAGCCUCCCUCGGUUUCUGCCCAUUUUUUCUGAGUCGUCUGCAUUAGCCAUUGAUUCUGUGAUCCACAUGAUAGCUGAACUUCACUUAUGAUGGCCAAAGUCUGCAUCCGAUGUCUGCAGCCGAGAACCUGGAUUGAUUCAGAACUUGAAGCUCCUAGUACAAUGCCUGGAACAAAAGAAGCCUUCCACAAAUGAUAGCCAGGAAUUGUUAGAAAAUUAUAUCCAUCCGUCCAUCCAUCCAUUUAACAAGCAAAUAUUGAGUACCUUGGGGCGCCUGGGUGGCACAGCGGUUGAGCGUCUGCCUUCGGCUCAGGGUGUGAUCCCGGCGUU